UCGGGUUGUAAAGCACUUUUGUCCGGAAAGAAAACUUCUGCAUUAAUACUGCGGGAGGAUGACGGUACCGGAAGAAUAAGCACCGGCUAACUACGUGCCAGCAGCGCGGUAAUCGUAGGGUGCGAGCGUUAAUCGGAAUUACUGGGCGUAAAGCGUGCGCGGGCGGUUCGUUAAGACAGAUGUGAAAUCCCCGGGCUUAACCUGGGAACUGCAUUUGUGACUGGCGAGCUAGAGUAUGGCAGAGGGGGGUAGAAUUCCACGUGUAGCAGUGAAAUGCGUAGAGAUGUGGAGGAAUACCGAUGGCGAAGGCAGCCCCCUGGGCCAAUACUGACGCUCAUGCACGAAAGCGUGGGGAGCAAACAGGAUUAGAUACCCUGGUAGUCCACGCCCUAAACGAUGUCAACUAGUUGUUGGGGAUUCAUUUCCUUAGUAACGUAGCUAACGCGUGAAGUUGACCGCCUGGGGAGUACGGUCGCAAGAUUAAAACUCAAAGGAAUUGACGGGGACCCGCACAAGCGGUGGAUGAAUGUGGAUUAAUUCGAUGCAACGCGAAAAACCUUACCUACCCUUGACAUGGUCGGAACCCUGCUG
rnacentral:rRNA from 1 species